GAUGAACGCUGGCGGCGUGCCUAAUACAUGCAAGUCGAGCGAACGGACGAGAAGCUUGCUUCUCUGAUGUUAGCGGCGGACGGGUGAGUAACACGUGGAUAACCUACCUAUAAGACUGGGAUAACUUCGGGAAACCGUAGCUAAUACCGGAUAAUAUUUUGAACCGCAUGGUUCAAAAGUGAAAGACGGUCUUGCUGUCACUUAUAGAUGGAUCCGCGCUGCAUUAGCUAGUUGGUAAGGUAACGGCUUACCAAGGCAACGAUGCAUAGCCGACCUGAGAGCGUGAUCGGACACACUGGAACUGAGACACGGUCCAGACUCCUACGGGAGGCAGCAGUAGGGAAUCUUCCGCAAUGGGCGAAAGCCUGACGGAGCAACGCCGCGUGAGUGAUGAAGGUCUUCGGAUCGUAAAACUCUGUUAUUAGGGAAGAACAUAUGUGUAAGUAACUGUGCACAUCUUGACGGUACCUAAUCAGAAAGCCACGGCUAACUACGUG
rnacentral:rRNA from 1 species